AUGAAGAAAGCCUUCACAGUUUGUUUCCCUUCUGCUAAAACUAACAAUGAAGAUGAUGAUGAAGAUGAGCUGGGAAACAGCUGCAUGUGGGAGGAAGUAAGUGAGGAUGACGUGGAAUCCAUCCAGAGCAGCUGUCGGCAGCAGCGGCUGCAGUGCUUUGCACAUUCAUUGCAGCUUGUUGUAAGAGAUGGACUAAAGGAGACAAAAACUCUGAACAGUGCAAUGGCAAAAGUGACAAAAUUUUGCAGUUUACUCCAUUCUACUUGUAGACUGAAGGAAGCAUUUGAGGCGGAGUAUGGAGCAAACCGAAGCAUCCCCUCAGCUGUGUCCACACGAUGGAACACAACUCUUCGCCUUGUGGAGGCAGUCACUGACCUGGAUCCCCAAAGCCUAAACUCUCUCCUGGAAGCCCAAGGACAUAAAGGUAUGUGCUUAUCAGCCAGAGAAUGGAGUCAGCUCAAAGAGCUUGUGGACAUUUUAGCCCCAUUUCUGCAAGCAACAGACCUUACACAAGGAGAGAAGGUGGUGACUGUCAGUGCGGCUCUACCUUGUGUACUCUCACUCAACAGCCACCUCAUCCAUAUGCUGAAUGCAUCUCGUCACCUGGUUGGCUUAGUGAAAGCACUGCAGAUGUCACUCCAACGCCGUUUCCAGGGGAUGUUUGCAAAUGUCAGAAUGGAUGAAACAGCACAACCCUCCGUAGAGCUUCCAUUUGGAGAUAUGGUCUACAUGUUGUCUGCACUACUAGACCCAUCAUUCUGCCUCUUUUGGCUAGAACAAGAUGUCCUCACACCAGAUGAAGUCAAGAGUAAGGUGAAGGAGAUGAUGAUAGACCUUCUCUUGGUUGAGGCUCAGAAAGUCACCAUACCUGAGGGCAGCAGUGGAGAAGAUGAGGAGGAGCCACCAGUACCCGCUAAAACUCCACGUCUUUUCUCUGGCUACCGCAAGAAGAGUACCAAGAAAAAUGCAGACCAUCACACAUCCUGCAAAGAUGAAGUCAUUCGCUAUAUCCAGGUGUGCUCUGAAGAAGAAGUUGACUGUAUGGAUUUCAGGCAAAAGCAUGCAAAGGUCUUCCCAAGGCUUUAUCUUGUGUCUAUGAAACUGCCACAAGUGCACCAGUGGAAAGGGUAUUUAGUCAUGGAGGCCUUAUAAUGCGCCCUCACCGAGCCAGACUUAGUGCAAAGACACUGUCAAGCUUGAUCUUUUUGAAAUGUAACCAUUCUGUUGCUUAAGACUUUUCUAGUUCUUAGGCCACUGAAGAACACCUAGAAGCCAGAAAUGUUUUUGUGGCCCGGUUAACCAGUCUAAUCUCAUCCUUUGGAUUUUUUUUAUUUUAUUAUUUCUAAACAUUUUGUUCUUAACAAGUUACAGGCCAUAAGUUGGUCAGUUGCUUCACAUUCACUCUAAAAAUGUUGAGCGUUUGAAUGUUGUGCUAUCCAACCAC
ensembl:lncRNA